GAUGAUGUCAUCCACUGAGUCAGGAACAGGUGGUCCUAAACUACAUCGCCUCUUCAUCAAGUUUGACCCAGAGGUUGUAGCGGUGGUGUCAAUACUGCUGGGUAUAUUCCAGGUGCUGUUGGCUGUGCCUCUGUACUACAUGGACAUUGGCUUACCCAAACUACAACUUAUGCUCCCUUUAUUUAUUGGCUUCCUGUUUGUGACUGCAGGGUCGUUUGCCUUCGCCUGUGAGAAGUCUCCCAGCAGACAGCUACUGACGGGCUGUGCCUACACUAACGUGGCCAGCCUGUUGGCGGGCCUACUGGCUCUGUGUAUGUACAGCGUCUCCCUACACUCCGUCCAGGGCACUGCUGAACCCUGCACUCUGCCAAGCAUCGACCUGUAUGCAGGGGCUGCACAAAAGUGCCCAGGAGAGUACCUGGAGGGGUUCUUCAGGAGUGUCACAGUCCUACUCAUCGUUUAUGACCUGGGGGCUCUUAUCCUCCACUCUCUUCUCUCUUUGUCUGCACUCAAGGGACUCAGAGUGGGACUGUGCCGAAUGAUCAAUUGAUCAAUUAGUCAAACUGAUUAACCAAUUGAUGCUAGUUGAAAAACCUAUUUUAGAAAAAUAUUAAUCUGUUUUAUCAUAUUUUUAUCAGAGACCACAUUUCCUUUAACUUGUUCAAGUUCAUGUUUGUUUUUUUCAUGGGUUUGUUUAUUCCUUUCCAGCUUUACAGGCUUACCAUUUUUUGAUAAACCUAAUAAAAUAAUUUGUAUAAACUCUGUGGACUUCUGAUGCUUAUUUAGAUUGAGUGUUGUGUGUUCAGUGUAAGGUCACUGCUGGCUUUUCAUAAUAACCUAUAAAUAUCAGGAACAACAUAUUCUUUCCGUACUGUUUCACUUGUGGUUAGUCAUUACUUUUGGAUACAUAUAGUGCUGCCAAUAUGUUUUAUUAGUAAGCGUUUAUAGUGAGAGUCAUGAAGACAGAUAUUGGCCAUUGACAUAAUGUUCCACUUUUUCCAACCAGACUUCGUGUACUUUACUGGGUACCUCCCUGUCGGCCUGUCCCUGCUGGCAUUCAUGGAAUAAUCGUGUCACGUAGGGGUGGGUUUCCCUUCAAAUCAGAUGCGCGCUGGAUGAAACCAUUGCCCCAAGAAGUGGAUCAACUGUCAAAUAAAACUGUUCAUGCUAUCUAAAGAUUUGCUUUCAGGUUCAAGAAAUUAACAUUUCUCUUGUGAAAGCAGCAACUCGAUCACAAUAUAUUUUCAUUUUCUUUAGUUAGAAAGGUCAUUCAAUUAUUGACACUGCAUUUACUAACCCCCCACGGAAGCAGAAAAUGGGUAAUUCCAAAAAUGGCAGCGGUUUCUGGUAGUGUGAAGUGAAACUUUCCAAAUAUUGCUGAUAAAACAUAGCUAUUCUUUAAUCCAUUUUGAGGAUUAUCGUCGAACAGAUAUUGAAGAAAUUGUUGUUGGACUACUGCUGUACCCGACGCCAAGCAACACGAUCGAAUGACGUUUCUUUUUUGAGGAUUUGGAGAUCGCGAACG
rnacentral:lncRNA from 13 species